GCAUUGAUGGUUCCAUAGUAGAAUUCUCACCUGCUAUGUAGGAGGUCUGAGUUCAAUUCACAGCCAAUGUG
rnacentral:tRNA from 1 species